AUUGAACGCUGGCGGCAGGCCUAACACAUGCAAGUCGAACGGUAACAGGAAACAGCUUGCUGUUUCGCUGACGAGUGGCGGACGGGUGAGUAAUGUCUGGGAAACUGCCUGAUGGAGGGGGAUAACUACUGGAAACGGUAGCUAAUACCGCAUAACGUCGCAAGCCCAAAGAGGGGGACCUUCGGGCCUCUUUCCAUCGGCUUUGCCCAGAUGGGAUUAGCUAGUAGGUGGGGUAACGGCUCACCUAGGCGACGAUCCCUAGCUGGUCUGAGAGGAUGACCAGCCACACUGGAACUGAGACACGGUCCAGACUCCUACGGGAGGCAGCAGUGGGGAAUAUUGCACAAUGGGCGCAAGCCUGAUGCAGCCAUGCCGCGUGUAUGAAGAAGGCCUUCGGGUUGUAAAGUACUUUCAGCGGGGAUGAAGGGAGUAAAGUGAAUACCUUCGCUCAUUGACGUUACCCGCAGAAGAAGCACCGGCUAACUCCGUG
rnacentral:rRNA from 1 species